GUGUCAGCAGCCGCGGUAAGACGAACUGUGCAAACGUUAUUCGGAAUCACUGGGCUUGAAGAGUGCGUAGGCGGUUUCGUAAGUAGGGUGUGAAAGCCCUCGGCUCAACCGGGGAAUUGCGUCCUAAACUGCGAGGCUGGAGUGAGGCAGGGGUGUGUGGAACUUCCAGUGGAGCGGUGAAAUGUGUUGAUAUUGGAAGGAACGCCGGUGGCGAAAGCGACACACUGGGCCUUGACUGACGCUGAGGCACGAAAGCCAGGGGAGCAAACGGGAUUAGAUACCCCCGUAGUCC
rnacentral:rRNA from 1 species